UACGGAGGGUGCGAGCGUUGUUCGGAAUCACUGGGCGUAAAGCGCGUGUAGGCGGCUCGAUAAGUCUGGUGUGAAAGCCCGGGGCUCACCCCCGGAAGUGCAUCGGAUACUGUCGAGCUCGAGUCUCGGAGAGGAGAGUGGAAUUCCUGGUGUAGCGGUGAAAUGCGUAGAUAUCAGGAGGAACACCGGUGGCGAAGGCGGCUCUCUGGACGAUGACUGACGCUGAGACGCGAAAGCGUGGGGAGCAAACAGGAUUAGAUACCCUGGUAGUCCACGCUGUAAACGAUGAGUACUAGGUGUCGCGGGUAUUGACCCCUGCGGUGCCGAAGCUAACGCAUUAAGUACUCCGCCUGGGGACUACGGCCGCAAGGUUAAAACUCAAAG
rnacentral:rRNA from 1 species